rnacentral:rRNA from 1 species
ACGUUGCUAACAGGUGAAGCUGAGCACUCUAGACGAACUGCCGUUGGACAAAACGGAGGAAGUGGGGAUGACGUCAAAUCAUCAUGCCCCUUAUGUUCUGGGCUACACACGUGCUACAAUGGCCGGUACAGACGGAGGCGAAGCCGCGAGGCGGAGCAAAUCCGAAAAAAGCCCGGUCUCAGUUCGGAUUGCAGGCUGCAAUUCGCCUGCAUGAAGUCGGAAUCGCUAGUAAUCGCAGGUCAGCAUACUGCGGUGAAUACGUUCCCGGGCCUU